ACCAGUCUCACCAUAGCUGUUGAUGGUGUAGACAAAUUCUCUGGUGCAAUAGUGACCGUGACAGAGUAUACUGACGUCACACUUUCCUGCAGAGCCCUGGGAGCUAUACCACGGGUGUCCAUAGACUGGUUUAACGACGGCAAUCCUCUUACACCUGACACCGAAACGAUUCCACCUGAUGGUGAGGCAACAGAUACACAGAGUAUAUGCAGCCCAUUCAUCCCAACACGACGUGAUGAUGGGGGCAGGAUAGAAUGUCGCACAAUAGGACCUCAAACUACACAGUCUGAAUUCAUUUCCCUCAAUGUUCUGUUUUCUCCGCUGGUAACAUCCCUGACAUACAGGGACGGAAUCAUCACUUGUGACGCAGAUGCCAAUCCACUCAGACACAUCGAAUAUUACAUCAUUCUAAAUGGCACCAAGCCUAACGCGCCUACUGGUAAAACCCUGGGGUUUAAUGUUGAUGACAAUUACUGCACAGAGGUCAGCUGUAAUGUCACAAAUACGAUUGGAACUGGGUCACAGAAACUUGAAGAACCGCUUUGCCCAGGUUUUGCUCGUGUAUCGCUACCAACAACAGACGGAUUAAUUCAAAGCACCAGUACCACAGACUCCUCCAGGAAGC
rnacentral:lncRNA from 1 species